GACAGCGUGUCCGAGUGGUGGAGGAGGUGGACUAGAAAUUCAUUUGUCUCCCCCCGCGCAGGUUCGCGUCCGGCCACUGUCG